GACGAACGCUGGCGGCGUGCCUAAUACAUGCAAGUUGAGCGAUGAAGCUUGGUGCUUGCACCAAUUUGAAGAGCAGCGAACGGGUGAGUAACGCGUGGGGAAUCUGCCUUUGAGCGGGGGACAACAUUUGGAAACGAAUGCUAAUACCGCAUAACAACUUUAAACAUAAGUUUUAAGUUUGAAAGAUGCAAUUGCAUCACUCAAAGAUGAUCCCGCGUUGUAUUAGCUAGUUGGUGAGGUAAAGGCUCACCAAGGCGAUGAUACAUAGCCGACCUGAGAGGGUGAUCGGCCACAUUGGGACUGAGACACGGCACAAACGCCUACGGGAGGCAGCAGUAGGGAAUCGUCGGCAAUGGACGAAAGUCUGAGCGAGCAACGCCGCGUGAGUGAAGAAGGUUGUCGGAUCGUAAAACUCUGUUGGUAGAGAAGAACGUUGGUGAGAGUGGAAAGCUCAUCAAGUGACGGUAACUACCCAGAAAGGGACGGCUAACUACGUG
rnacentral:rRNA from 1 species